rnacentral:rRNA from 1 species
CCUACGGGGAGCUGCAGUGAGGAAUAUUGGUCAAUGGGCGCGAGCCUGAACCAGCCAAGUAGCGUGAAGGAUGACUGCCCUACGGGUUGUAAACUUCUUUUAUAAAGGAAUAAAGUGAGGCACGCGUGCCUUUUUGUAUGUAUUUUAUGAAUAAGCAUCGGCUAACUCCGUGCCGGCAGCCGCGGUAAUACGGAGGAUCCGAGCGUUAUCCGGAUUUAUUGGGUUUAAAGGGAGCGUAGAUGGGUUGUUAAGUCAGUUGUGAAAGUUUGAGGCUCAACCGUAAAAUUGCAAUUGAUACUGGCAGCCUUGAGUUCAGUUGAGGUAGGCGGAAUUCGUGGUGUAGCGGUGAAAUGCUUAGAUAUCACGAAGAACUCCGAUUGCGAAGGCAGCCUACUAAACUGCCACUGACAUUGAUGCUCGAAAGUGUGGGUAUCAAACAGGAUUAGAUACCCGAGUAGUC